rnacentral:rRNA from 1 species
GACGAACGCUGGCGGCGUGCCUCAGACAUGCAAGUCGAACGAUUAAGACUUCCUUCGGGAAGUGCAUAAAGUGGCGCACGGGUGAGUAACACGUAAGUAAUCUACCCUCGAGUGGGGAAUAACGUUCGGAAACGGACGCUAAUACCGCAUAACGCAGCGGCACCGCAAGGUGACAGUUGUUAAAGGAGCAAUCCGCUUGAGGAGGAGCUUGCGGCAGAUUAGCUAGUUGGUAAGGUAAUGGCUUACCAAGGCUACGAUCUGUAUCCGGUCUAAGAGGACGGUCGGACACACUGACACUGAAUAACGGGUCAGACUCCUACGGGAGGCAGCAGUCGGGAAUUUUGGGCAAUGGGCGAAAGCCUGACCCAGCAACGCCGCGUGAAGGAUGAAGUAUUUCGGUAUGUAAACUUCGAAAGAAUAGGAAGAAUUAAUGACGGUACUAUUUAUAAGGUCCGGCUAACUACGUG